rnacentral:rRNA from 1 species
CCCUUAGAUGUUCUGGGCUGCACGCGCGCUACACUGAUGCACUCAACGAGUUUACACCCUUGCCUGGAAAGGUUGGGUAAUCUUUUGAAAGUGCAUCGUGAUUGGGAUAGAUGAUUGCAAUUCUUCAUCUUCAACGAGGAAUGCCUAGUAAACGCAAGUCAUCAGCUUGCAUUGAUUACGUCCCUGCCCUUUGUACACACCGCCCGUCGCUCCUACCGAUUGAAUGAUCCGAUGAAUACCAUGGAUUGAGAGUACGAAUAGGUUCGCUUAUUUCUGCUGCUCGAGAAGUGGAGUAAAUCUUAUCAUUUAGAGGAAGGAGAAGUCGUAACA